rnacentral:lncRNA from 1 species
GCCUGGACGGGGCUGCUGCUCAGGCUCUAACAAUUCAGCACGUGGCCCCCACCCCGCCCCAGCCAGGGCAGCUCGUCCCGCACCCCCAAAACCCAGCAGGACAACAGAACCCAGGGGCCGGCCGGGGGGUGGGGCAGGCCGGGCAGAGCCCAGGCAGGAGAGGGUAGGGGAGCUGCAAGGGGGCAGGGUGGGGUGGGCUUCAGGGGGAGGCACAGGGAGGAUGUGCUGCCUGGGAACAUCCUUGAAAGGGUCAAAGACGUUGUUCUGAUCUUCCGUCCCAGGAGGGGUACCAGGCCCACCCCAGCCGGGGCCGCCGGGCCGCCAGGCAGAGCCCGAGAGGCAAAGGUGCCAGAGGAACCCAGGCUGUGCACGCCAGCUCAGCGCUUGCCAUGGGCAUCCCUCUCACAUGAACGCAGCUCAUGUUUUAGCUGGAAAACAGAGAGAGGUUUGGAGGAUUCUAAUAAAAGUCACCCGGGAGCCCCCUGCCGGGGGGCCCCUCUGGGUGUCCCCUCGCGGCCAUGAUAAAGGGCCGAGGGCUCUGCCAGGCAGCCCCAGCACAGGCAUCUUCUCCUGGCCCGGGAUCCUGCAGAAGAGCACAAGGGCUGCAGAGCAGAGGCCGGACGACGCCAGCUCUCAGAGUCAGCACCAACCCCGUCAGGGUGACCACUGGGGACCCAUCCACGCCACAGAGAGGUGACAGGUGAUACGCGUCCUGCGUCUCUGCUCCUUCCAGCCAGCUCCCCAGAACAGCAGGGCCAACCACCCUGGGCCUGGCCUCCUCCUGCUUCCUCCACACAGGCUCUGGACUCAGGCUCCGGCCGAGCCGAGGUACCACCCAACCGUGGAAUGACCGACGGGAGAGCAUCCGCCUGGGGCCUCCUGGGAGGGAUGGGCGGCACAGACGGGGGCGCAGGGGGAAGGCGCUUCGGACAGUGGAUGGCAGUGCCACGGCCUGACCGUCCCCAACUCCCUCCUCCCGCCCAGCCUCGUUUCCUCAUCUCUAAAAUGGAGCCAAGAGGCAGACCCGGGUCCUGGAGUCCUUGGGGGCUUAACCACCCGCCCGCCCUGAGCACUGAGAACCCGGUCCUUUGUUCUGGGGCGACCUGCAGGGAGCCAGGGGAGAGGGGACAGGCGCUCAAGAGAGGAAGCCGAGAAGCAGGGGUUGGGAAGGGGAGACCUAGAGAGAGACCCAGACCAGACCAGACCAGACCAGGGUGCUCAGAAGACCAGCUCAACCAGAUGGCAGCCCAGGAAGGGUGCGCCCCCUCCCGCCCCCACCACACAGGACAGGCUCCGUCGGAACGCACCAGCAGGGGACGGGUGGCUGGGUGCCCAACGGGUCCCAAGAAACGACGCCGGAAAGAAAGCCCAGCUGCCCGUGGGGGCCAAACAUUCCCCAUCCAGGCCGGGAGAAGGAGGAUCCCAGGACGAUGCACAGCCUGCAGCCCAGACCCAGGACCGGCCCACCGCAGAUCCACAGGUUUAAAGGGCACCGGCGAGAGCUGGCAUCACGGGCCCCAAGACCAAACUUCUGAGAAGCCCGGAAGAGGGGGUCCCGGAGCUCUCUCCUGCCAUGCUCUGGGGGUCGGAGGUGAACCUUCUGGGACUCUCUGCGCACGCCCCUGGGACCGCACCUACGCCCCUGGGACGGCACCUAGACCUAAACUUCAUCCCAGGCCCCACCCCGCCCCAGCCCCAGCCAUGCCCACGGCUGCAGGGCAGUCCAGCUGUCCAGAGGGGACGCUACCAGUUGGAGACACAGUCACGUGGCUUGGCAUGUGGCCCUGGCCCAGGUAGAUCCCUGCCUGCUCGGGGACCCCUGAGGCUCUGGGGCCGGGGGCCGGGGGGGGGGGGGGGGAUGGGAAGGAGGCCACGCCUUGGCCCAGGGCAGUCUGGCGACUUUAGGAUUGCCUGACUCCUAGGAUUAUUUAGGAUCACCGCCCUGCACACUCCCCCGGGGCUCUGGGAACUGGGGCUUCUGCAGAGGCACGUGCAAGCUGAGGCAGCUGUGUCUAGCGGCUUCCAGCCCAGGGCUCAGGACACAAGAAGCCCUCCCUAGGCUCCAAGGUCCUCCUUGCCCAAGGGUGAGAGGUCAUUGUGCGAUGGGGUCCAGAGGUGUGACCGCUUCACUAGAGCAGGUGAGAAUGGGGCAGGGGUGCCGGCCGUCUGUUCUACGUAUUCCUGGUGGGAGCCUCUGCUCACCGGGAAACUGAUCGUAGAUUUACAUGUUCUCAUUGCUUUUUUCUUUUUUCUUCUUUUUUCUGGCCACGCCCGUGGCAUGGGGGAGUCCUGAGACCAGAGAUCAAACCCGAACCACAGCAGCGAUCCAAGCCUCUGCACCAGCAACCCCAGAUCCUUGACCCGCCGCCCCAGGAGGGACUUUUUUGGUUGUUUUGAUCGUUUGUAUUUUCUAAAUAUUAAAGAAAUUCUUUUUUCCCUAAUGAAGGGCGUGUAGAAAGCAUUGAAAACUUUUUUUGGUCUUACGGCUGCACCCACAGCACGUGGAUGUUCCCCGCUAGGGGUCGAAUCGGAGUUGCAGCCACCGCAAGGCCAGAUCUGAGUCUCAUCUGUGCCCUCUGCCACAGCUUGCGACAACACCAGCUCCUUAACCCACUGAGCGAGGCCAGGGAUUGAACUCAUGGACACUGCGUCGGGUUCUGAACCCGCCGAGCCGCAACGGGAGCUCCAAAAAGUGUUUAGAAGAUGACAGAUACCCAGAAGCCUGUCCCCGAGGCUUUGGUGCCGUUUCCGUGCACGUGUGCGUGUAAACCCUGCUUGCAGGUUUCCAAUGCUGGGU